GACGAACGCUGGCGGCGUGCUUAACACAUGCAAGUCGAACGGAAAGGCCCUGCUUUUGUGGGGUGCUCGAGUGGCGAACGGGUGAGUAACACGUGAGUAACCUGCCCUUGACUUUGGGAUAACUUCAGGAAACUGGGGCUAAUACCGCAUAGGAGCUCCUGCUGCAUGGUGGGGGUUGGAAAGUUUCGGCGGUUGGGGAUGGACUCGCGGCUUAUCAGCUUGUUGGUGGGGUAGUGGCUUACCAAGGCUUUGACGGGUAGCCGGCCUGCGAGGGUGACCGGCCACAUUGGGACUGAGAUACGGCACAGACUCCUAUGGGAGGCAGCAGUGGGGAAUACUGCACAAUGGGCGGAAGCCUGAUGCAGCAAAGCCGCGUGCGGGAUGACGGCCUUCGGGUUGUAAAGCGCUUUCGCCUGUGACGAAGCGUGAGUGACGGUAAUGGGUAAAGAAGCACCGGCUAACUACGUG
rnacentral:rRNA from 1 species